UCCUGCGCGGCGGCCUACACAUGCAGUCGAGCGGUAGAGAGAAGCUUGCUUCUCUUGAGAGCGGCGGACGGGUGAGUAAUGCCUAGGAAUCUGCCUGGUAGUGGGGGAUAACGUUCGGAAACGGACGCUAAUACCGCAUACGUCCUACGGGAGAAAGCAGGGGACCUUCGGGCCUUGCGCUAUCAGAUGAGCCUAGGUCGGAUUAGCUAGUUGGUGAGGUAAUGGCUCACCAAGGCUACGAUCCGUAACUGGUCUGAGAGGAUGAUCAGUCACACUGGAACUGAGACACGGUCCAGACUCCUACGGGAGGCAGCAGUGGGGAAUAUUGGACAAUGGGCGAAAGCCUGAUCCAGUAUGCCGCGUGUGUGAAGAAGGUCUUCGGAUUGUAAAGCACUUUAAGUUGGGAGGAAGAGCAGUUACCUAAUACGUGAUUGUUUUGACGUUACCGACAGAAUAAGCACCGGCUAACUCUGUGCCAGCAGCCGCGGUAAUACAGAGGGUGCAAGCGUUAAUCGGAAUUACUGGGCGUAAAGCGCGCGUAGGUGGUUUGUUAAGUUGGAUGUGAAAUCCCCGGGCUCAACCUGGGAACUGCAUUCAAAACUGACUGACUAGAGUAUGGUAGAGGGUGGUGGAAUUUCCUGUGUAGCGGUGAAAUGCGUAGAUAUAGUAAGGAACACCAGUGGCGAGGGCGACCAUCUGGGACUAAUACUGACACUGAGGGUGCGAAAGCGUGGGGAGCAAACAGGGAUGAGAUACUCUGGGUAGUGCACGUUCGUUAAACGAUGUCAACUAGUCCGUUCGGGAGCCUUGGAGCUCUUCAGUGGCGGCAGCUAACGCAUUUAA
rnacentral:rRNA from 1 species